CUCAUUUUGCCAGCACUACUCGUGAGCUUUGGCUACCUUGCUAUGAAGGCAUCAAAUUUUCAGCCUACAUAACAUUGAGCAACAGAUUACAUAACAAUGAUGGAAAUAGAUUACUAGAUUCAUAUGAACUUUAGGAAACAUGUGAUGGCAAUAGAAAAUAUUUGACAAAAAACAUUUACCUUACAAUAUCUUUUGUUAUGUCCUUGUUG
rnacentral:lncRNA from 1 species